ensembl:lncRNA
CGGUGAUAUCCUCCACGGCACAGCCUAGUCCUGGUAUAAAGGCGCACUGAUCUAUCCAUAUCUCUCAAUUUUUCCAGCUUUCUUUCUUGAAAUCUCUGUAUUGCUAAGAAUAAAUAUGACUACACAGAUGGAUUUAGCUGUGCUGCGGAUCAUGAUGAUUAUUUUUGAGUCUUUUAAUAUUUCACCCUUGUUAUUAAGUUUAUUAGAAAAGAAAACAUUACAGCAAAAUCAAAGAGAAGCAGUGGGAGUUCUUUGUCAAAUGUUUAUUACAGCUCUGCUUUGCUGGCUAAUGAUUAGCUUAGCAGGGGUAGUGGUUCAGUUUUUAGCUAACCUAAGGGCACUCUGAGUGUGGGUUGGUUUGUUUUUUGUUUUUUGACCUUGUAGAGGGUUUUUUUUCAUACAACUUUUCAAGUUUUACGUCAUUAACAGUGAACGGAAAUACAAUUUACAUUUCAUUUGCAAUUUGUCUUUACUAAAGUCUCCAGUGUUUCUAGUAAGAUGGCUGUCAGAAAAGAGCAUUAUCUGUAUGAGAUUAUGAAUGUGAUCUGUGUUCACUAAAGGACAGAGAAAGCAGCUUACCUUAGUCCACAGCUUUAUCAAUCCCACAAUCCAAACGAAUUAGCAGCCACACAGUUGAGCACUGCCGCUGUCGUACAGUGAUAAAUAUCUCCAAUGCGAACACAGAUCACUAUCAGAGUGUUACUGUUCACAAGGUUAUCUCACCUUUAUUAUACUACCUCUGGUGUCAGGUUAAUUUCUCUCCUCACAGGGGUCAGCAUUAACGCCUAUGCCGGCCACUACACAGAGUGUUGCUAAUUGCACAAUAAGUCCAACAGAAAGAGAGAUUUCAUUGUCGCGCACUAAAAGCUAAACAACAAUGAUUCCAACUUACCUCCUUAAAAAGUCAAGGGGAAAAGCAGCAGUUUUCCUUUUGCGGAGAGAAGAAAUGUUAAAUAUUCUCUCUGAGCCGUUUUAAAAGUUCCUUCUGUUCACGAACCUUUUGUCCUGGGUAUGCAAAGAUAAGCACAUACCAUAAUAAACAGGGUAUGAUACUGC